rnacentral:rRNA from 1 species
AUGCACGCUGGCGGCGUGCCUAAUACAUGCCAGUCGCGCGAACAGACGAGGAGCUUGCUCCUCUGACGUUAGCGGCGGACGGGUGAGUAACACGUGGAUAACCUACCUAUAAGACUGGGAUAACUUCGGGAAACCGGAGCUAAUACCGGAUAAUAUAUUGAACCGCAUGGUUCAAUAGUGAAAGACGGUUUUGCUGUCACUUAUAGAUGGAUCCGCGCCGCAUUAGCUAGUUGGUAAGGUAACGGCUUACCAAGGCAACGAUGCGUAGCCGACCUGAGAGGGUGAUCAGCCACACUGGAACUGAGACACGGUCCAGACUCCUACGGGAGGCAGCAGUAGGGAAUCUUCCGCAAUGGGCGAAAGCCUGACGGAGCAACGCCGCGUGAGUGAUGAAGGUCUUCGGAUCGUAAAACUCUGUUAUUAGGGAAGAACAAAUGUGUAAGUAACUAUGCACGUCUUGACGGUACCUAAUCAGAAAGCCACGGCUAACUACGUG